GUUAAAGGACUAUUUUAAGCCUUCCCUCUACUGGUAAAAUGGGCGCAAAAAACUUUGGAACAGAGAAACUGACAACCCUAAUGGAACCUGAGGGAGAUGAAGCAUCUCAUCAACACCCAAAAAGGUAAAAACCACAAAUAAUACUCAAUUUCCAUCCACUUCAAGCAAUAAAGAUUCAAUCUUGACAAACCCUAUCUUACCACAAGAACUCAUCACAUCAAUUCUUGUAAGACUUCCAGCCCUUAUUUUAUCAAGACCCAUCUUAGUUUUUCUGUUAAGAAUUGCACCCACUAUAGAUUACUGUUGAAAUUUAAACGCAAUAUAAAACAUUGUUCUGUUAGCUCUUUAUUUUAUGAGUCUGAUAUUAAGGCAUUGGACUUGGAUUAUCCCCUAAAAACCCCCUGUAAUUUUGUUCGUAUUGUGGGUUCUGUUAAUGGAUUGAUUUGUUUGCGUGUUGGGUUCAAUGGCUUGGUUCUGUGGAAUCCGUCAACUAGAAAGUUCAAGCAAGUAGCUAACCUUAUGUCACGUGUGGUUUUGGGUAUGAUGAGGUUCACGAUGAUUAUAAGGUAGUGAGUAUUUUCCUUGACAGUUAUAAUCGCUACGUCGAGGCCAAAAUAUAUAGUUUAAUGAGUGAUUCUUGGAGAACACUUGAUGAUUUCCAAGGCAAGGUGUUCCCCCGUCGUUCGAGCAAGUUGGUGAAUGGGAAGCCUCACUUGGUUACUGAUGAUGAUGGUUGGGGCAUCAUGUCCUUUGAUUUGGUUGAUGAGAAAUGUAGGAAGAUGGAGCAACCUUUCUACAACAACAACAACAACAACCCAGUGAAAUCCCACAACGUGGGGUCUGGGGAGGGUAGAAUGUACGCAGACCUUACUCCUACCAAGGUAGGACGGCUGUUUCCGAAAGACCCUCGGCUCAAUAAAAAAACAUAAAAAGAGGUCAGAUAAGGCUAAGAGAUUCAAAGCGAUAUGAAAUGAAAUAAAGCAAGCGACACAGAUAACAUAGGAUAAUCAAAGCACAGGAAAUAAUAGAUAAUAGCAGAAAUUAUACUGCGAUAAUGCGACUACUAAUAAGACAGAAUAACGAGACUAUCUACUAGCCUUCUACCCUAAUCUGGGUCCUCCAAACCCUCCUAUGGAGCAACCUUUCUAUAGAAGAGAAAAUUUAUGUUUGAAUCUUGGAGUGUUGGGAAGUGAUUUAUCUGUAAUCUGUAAUUAUUGGGGAAAUUUUCAGAUAACUCAAGCUGAGAUGUGGAUUAUGAAGGAGUAUGGGGUUAAGGAGUCUUGGACGAAACUUUACACCAUCAAAAAUCCUAAGGAUAUGCUUUCUCCAACCCUUUGCAUGUCAAAUGAAGGUGAAUUAUUGGGUGUUUUUGGAUCGACUUUAAUGAUAUACAAUUCAAAGGAUGACUUAAGAAGAUAUCCAGUGGUUACUAAUAUUGAUAGAAGUCUUGAGGCGGAACACUAUGUAGAAAGCCUAGUUUCUCCAAUUUUACAAAACGAACAAUGACACAACUUUGAAGGCUGCAAAAACUCGGGCAAAUGACAGUUUGUCGCAAAUGACAGUUUGUCGCUAACGACUUGUUUUAUCAUGCCUCUACUUUGUGGUCCUAAAGCUCGAUCACCUGUUUGGAAUCACUAUGAAAAGCUUGAAGAAAGUGAUGAUUGAUGGUGCCAUUCGCUGCAUACUUGGACUGGCUCCUUAAAGUUUCAUGUUAAGCGUUGUUUGGAUCGCAUGGAGCAGGAGCAUAUAACUAUAAAGAUUGAGUAGUUAUUGUUUAGUUGACUUGAAUAUGAACUAUUUAGUACUAUGUUUGGACUUAAUAUUCAAAUUGUGUGACUGUUGUUUUGGUUUUCUGAAACUCUGGUAGUGCUGGACAAUAUAUUGCUAGUGAACUGGCUGACUAAUGCUUAAUAUUCAAAUUGUGACUGCUGCAGACUGCAGUGCUGCU